CAGCAACUUCCAUGCGUGCAUGCCUCUUCAUUUGUGCGUCAAGGCGUGUGUUGCCUUGCGCACUAGACGGGUUUCCUGUGUUGCGUACCGAAUUGACGGCAUUGUUUGAAUCUAUCGAUGCUUGUUUUCGUUACACGUUGCUUAUGCGACUUGUGAUGAACCUCGAAGCAGUAUCUGUGAUCCACCUUGCUAUUGCCUUUGCAAUGACGAUGUGGCCCAUGGAUUCUUGGUUGGUUUCUUGGAUACGGAUGCUUUUAUUGGUAUGGGGUCUCAUGACCUGAUUAUUACCAUCGUUUGGCGUUCUUGUUGCUUAAAAGAUGACUAGACGUCACGUGUUGGCUUGUCCAUGCGUGGGGUGCUAUGUCGAAG
rnacentral:misc_RNA from 1 species